rnacentral:rRNA from 1 species
CCCUUAGAUGUUCUGGGCCGCACGCGCGCUACACUGACGGAUUCAACGAGCUUACAACCUUGGCCGAAAGGUCUGGGUAAUCUCCAAAAUCCGUCGUGAUGGGGAUAGAUUAUUGCAAUUAUUAAUCUUCAACGAGGAAUGCCUAGUAAGCGCAAGUCAUCAGCUUGCGUUGAUUACGUCCCUGCCCUUUGUACACACCGCCCGUCGCUCCUACCGAUUGAAUGGUCCGGUGAAGCGUUUGGACUAUGGUUUUCUGAUGGUCCGCCGUUGGAUUACCGUGGGAAGUUCGUUAAACCUUAUCAUUUAGAGGAAGGAGAAGCCGUAACA